ensembl:snoRNA SNORA69 small nucleolar RNA, H/ACA box 69
ACAGCAGGAUGCAAUUACAGUGCUUCAUUCUGUGGGAGUACUGCCAUUAACCUGCUGAGAGCGAGGUCCUGCCGCAGUCGUCUUCAGCGCCGGCACUCUGGUUGCCGGCGGUGAGUGUUCUGUAGCAGGUACACAG